rnacentral:tRNA from 1 species
GUCUAUGUGGCUAAAACUUACAGCACAGCACUGAAGAUGCUGAGAUGAAAUAUAAAAACUUCCGUAGACA